CCUCAGCCUCCCAAAGCACUGGGAUUACAGGUGUGUGCCAUGGCAACUGGCUGUGACAACCAAGCUCUACGAAUGAGCAGCAGCGACACUCCUGCUGAGACCACCCAGACUUGGCCUCCCUCGAGCACCCAGUGGACCCUCUGGAGCGCAGAACAUCUAAGAAAGAAGACUUUGGAGGAGGAGGGGAGAGUGCAGGGACCACCUCUUCCUCUCCCAGAUGAGCAGACUGGGACUGUGGUGCUGAAGAGGCUGUCCUGCCCUUGUCUCCAUCCCGGAGUUCCAGCUACUCUGUGACCCCCAGAAGUGGCCGGUGGUGCAGAACAGCCUGGAACAUGACAUGCUAGAUCAAUGUCCAUACACGUCCACAGAAAUAAAUGAAUGUUCCUUCUGCCAUGACUCAUGUCUCGGGGACAACAGCAAAAAGAGGCUCUGCUGCCCCCCUUCCCGGCGUUCAAUCUAAUUACAGCUCCUCACAGCCCAG